GUUUCUGUGGUGUAGUGGUUAUCACAUCCGCCUAACACGCGGAAGGUCCCAGGUUCGAGCCCUGGCAGAAACU
rnacentral:tRNA from 1 species